GCAACUUCUUUUCCUGUUUCUAUUCUGUCACUGUGUUCAGACUGUCUAAGCCAGUGGAAGAGAAACCUCUAGAAGUUCUCCGUCUCACACCUACUCAUUCAGGAUUUUUUGGAUCUAGGAACCAAUUUGAAUCUAGGAACCAAAUUUGAGACAGUAGAAAACUUUAAGGUAAUUUUCUACCAAUUCCCUGAAAGAAGAUGUUCAGAGAGAGGAUGUGCCUUGAGAGAUCAUGAAGGAAAUGCUGCACGUAAGAGCACUCUUUAUUGAAAACCCAUCAGAGAAUUUGUAUUGGACAACCUGAGAGACACACCUACAGGAAACAGGACUUCAUGGAUUCCAGUAAAUUUCCUGGGCUGAUUAUUUCAGCAGGAUUAUUCAAAUGUUUGAAAGUCAAGACUCUAAAUAAUGUACAAGUGGGAACAGUGUAAAAUAAUACAAAACUAUGCAAGCAGUCUCUGAGGAAGAUUGUGAUAAGUAUGAUUUGUAAGUCCUCUAUCAUUUAUGUGUUACAUUGAGGUAAUGAGUAAUACUGAAAUAUUAAAAUGACAGUAGAAGUAAAUAGGGAUAAUGCCAUCAGUGGCUUAUAGAGGUGGAAAUUAAACUGAAAUUGAAGUGCUGAGUCAUAGUUAAAAUUUGCAAUGUAUGGAAUAUGGGAUCCUAUCAUUCUCUCAAAUUUUCAGUGGAUGUAGUCUAGUGAGUUUUGAAACAUAUUAAAAUAUGCUUCUUAGUUCAUUGAAUUGAUAAGGAGAAGUGCCAAUUAUCCUAAGUGUGUUUAACUGCAGUGCAAUUUUAGAUGCCAGAUUUUAGGAGUUUCUUAUCCACACACUGGAGCCAUAGAAUUUAAUCUAAGUAUUUUUGCUCUUAGUUUAUAAGGUUGGAAUAUUGAUCCAGAUGGAAGUCCUUGUGACAUAAAGCCAGAUCCAGUGACGGCUGUUGCAGGGACCUGGAAAUUUUACAGAUGUUUAUGAAGCAACAUCACAGCAUAGCAAAAGGAUUCCAUAAUGUUGGUGAUGUACCUCAUGACCUCAUAACAAAUUCUUAGUUUAACAAUAUAUAACCCCAAAGGAACUAAUGUGACCUCCUGUGUAGCAGACAGGACAUUCUUGGAUCAAUUCCUGGUGGGAUUAGAUCAUACUUUUAAAAGAAGAUUCCUUUUUGUACACUACAUACGGUUGCAGCCUUGGCAGGCCGUUAUACAAUCUAUUUUUUCCAGUCCUUCACUUGAAAGAUUCUUAAGCAGUAAACCAAAGCUAGAAAUCAGACGGUUUGAGAGCAUGGAUGUGAGCCCUGUACUUGCGAGGGAGAAGAGGGAGGAGGAGGAUGUGCAAAAUGAUGUGUUCACUGUAUCUUUUUUUCUGCUUGUUUGUUCUCUCUGUACAGUUUGUUUUGCUGCUGAACACAUCAUACGAGAAAAAUCUAUGUGUAUUUGUAUCUUAGGACUAGUAGAAGUUGGUUGUCUCUCACUGCUGGAAGGAAGAGUCGAGGGGAAUUCCAUACUUCUUGGUGUAUACACUUUCAAGAUGAAAAAUGAAAACGUAGGGAAGAUCUCUAAUUUUCUUCUAGGCAAAGAAAAUAUGGAAUUUAGUGAGGCUUCCCGGUCAAUAAAUGCUCAACUUUAUAAGUCAGCUAAGUGAAUUCCCCAGUAAACUUGCCUGGAAAGUCCAAUGAGUUUUCCGGCCAAGUGGUCCUAGGGCAGCCAGAUACUUAUAGUGAGCGAUAAGGAUGGAGCACUGGAUGGUAAGCUGUCUCCUUUGCUCCGUCUAUUUCUGGUACACAUUUAAGGAGAUAAUAUAUGAAUUAAACAAUCAGGCAAAUAUCUUUCCCCUCUGUAGGAUUGCUCGGUACUGAGGAAAGAUGAGUUCAUUGCCAGGAUGAGUCUCACUGCUCCCCUAACCUCUCUGUCAGCCCAGUCCCACACAGCUCGCCAUGGCAGCAGCUGCAUGAGAAGAAGCAAGAGCAGAGCAGACCCACAGUGACUCAGUUUUCUCUGAUAUGAUGUUUUUUAUUAAGUGUGAAUUCAGUAUCAGAUUAAUAUGCUGUUUUCUCCCUAAAUGUGUUCUCUCUGUCCCAAUUGUAAUUCUCUUUCACGUCUCAGUAAACCUAACCUGGAGUUA